rnacentral:rRNA from 1 species
CGGAGGAUCCAAGCGUUAUCCGGAAUCAUUGGGUUUAAAGGGUCCGUAGGCGGUUUAAUAAGUCAGUGGUGAAAGCCCAUCGCUCAACGGUGGAACGGCCAUUGAUACUGUUAAACUUGAAUUAUUAGGAAGUAACUAGAAUAUGUAGUGUAGCGGUGAAAUGCUUAGAGAUUACAUGGAAUACCAAUUGCGAAGGCAGGUUACUACUAAUUGAUUGACGCUGAUGGACGAAAGCGUGGGUAGCGAACAGGAUUAGAUACCCUGGUAGUCCACGCCGUAAACGAUGGAUACUAGCUGUUGGAAGCAAUUUCAGUGGCUAAGCGAAAGUGAUAAGUAUCCCACCUGGGGAGUACGUUCGCAAGAAUG